UACGUCAUCCCCACCUUCCUCUCUACUUGCGUAGGCAGUCUCACUAGAGUCCCCAACUGAAUGAUGGCAACUAGUGACAGGGGUUGCGCUCGUUGCAGGACUUAACCUAACACCUCACGGCACGAGCUGACGACAACCAUGCAGCACCUUGAAAAUUGUCCGAAGAAAAGUCUAUUUCUAAACCUGUCAAUUCCCAUUUAAGCCUUGGUAAGGUUCCUCGCGUAUCAUCGAAUUAAACCACAUAAUCCACCGCUUGUGCGGGCCCCCGUCAAUUCCUUUGAGUUUCAUUCUUGCGAACGUACUCCCCAGGUGGCUAACUUAUCACUUUCGCUUAGUCUCUGAACCCGAAGGCCCAAAAACGAGUUAGCAUCGUUUACGGCGUGGACUACCAGGGUAUCUA
rnacentral:misc_RNA from 1 species